UUUGGUGGGCAAAGAAUACAAGGUCUUUGUUUGGUGGGGUUUAUUGAUUACGUCUUCAUUUUGUAUUGGCAAAAAUAUAUCUCCAACUCCUAUCUCUAAAGACGAUGAUAACCAUUAUGAAGAAUGACAUGCAAAGGCUAUUUGAACCACAUAUCAACAAUUUUCUGACCAUGACCAAGUGAUGAAUAUGAUACAAGUCUACCUCAUGAAAGCCACACUACUUUUCAAAGAAAAAUAUUUUCUUUGGAGUUGUAGGUAUUAUAGUGAAAACUUAAUCCUGACUUCUGUUCUGCAUAAAUGAGAAUCGCACUAUGCCAGGUAACAUAAUAUAGCGAGUACCCUGGUUGAGUCAAGAUAAUAUAAAAUAAGUGGAAAGAGAGAGAACAAGUAGUAAAGGAAAGGAUGUGCAAACAGCCGAAUGUGAAUCUGGCAAUAAUGUGCCUGUUUAAAUGAGUUUUAGUUGAGUACCAAAUAGUUACCUAGGUUUUCCUGGGAAAAACACUGAUCCAGCUUUUCUGAUU